AUGGCAACCGCCACCGCCGCAACCGCCCCUUCCACCUCCUCGUCACUCCUCCUCUGCCGACCCCUCCCUCCAAAUUCCACAGCCGCGUACUGCCUCGCGCCACCACGGUGCCGCGCGUGCCUCCGCACCGCGCGCCAGGUUGCCGUCAGCAGCGUGUCCCCAUCCCCAUCCCCGUCCCCCGACGUGGCGGAUGAGGAGGCCACGGCCGCGCCCAAGCUCGGCAAGCGCGUGCGCGUCAUGACGCCGGUCCGCGUCUACCACGUCCCCAAGGCGCCGAACCUGGACCUCCGCGGCAUGGAAGGUGUGGUCAAGCAGUAUGUCGGUGUGUGGAAGGGCAAGCGCAUCACGGCCAAUCGCCCUUUCUCCGACUGCGUUCGUGUUAAAAAUGAAAAUCAAGGUAGUAGAGAUGCAAAGGGCUGGGACACGAGACAGCUCCCUUUGGCUCCUGUGCCGACUGCU
rnacentral:rRNA from 1 species